UUCUAUUAGAAACUGCACUUUUUUGAUUAGCAUUUUUGGCAAUUGCAGGCCAGCAAUAUUUUAGGUGGACUGUUUCGAGGAUAUUCCAAUACUCAUCAGGAAGUUUGUUGCCUGAUAUGUUUAGAAUUUAGUGGGCAGGAAUGGAACUUUCGUUUUGGGAUAUAUGGUGAGUACUUUUAAAUUACGUUCAAAGCCUAUAUGAAGCAGGCAAGCUAAGUAACUUAGUUCAAGAGGUUAAACGUUUAAAAGUUGAUAUAAUGGGCAUCAGUGAGCUCCGUUGGCCUGGAACGGGAACAUGUGAACAAGAUGAAGGCACACUAUACUAUUCUGGAAGUCUAGAAGGUGACGUAUAUCAUAGGAAUGGAGUUGGCAUAUCUAUAACGUCUGAAUUAAAAAAAUAUGUGAAAAAUUUUAUACCUGUGAACGACAGACUAGCGGUACUCCAAUUAAAUAGCAAACCAUAUCAUGUCAAUAUUAUACAGAUAUGUGCAACUACUACAGAAAAGAAAUAUGACAAUGUGUAACGGUCACGUUACAAAAUUAGCUCUUUAAUUAUUAUUAUAAUUAUUUUUCCUCGGUCUCCAUUUAAAUUCUCUAAUUUCUCGUAUGGGACUACUGGGGUGACGUCAUACCUCGGUGAUGGAACGUACUCCAUUUAUCGAGAAUGAUUUCGUUUUCUGAGAGAGUUUGACGUUUACCUUGGCGGAGAAGCGCCUCUCGUUCUUUACUUGACUGUUGGCUGUUGUGUCGAAUAGAGGUACCAUAUAGAAUGGCGGAUGAUUUCAUCCAACUUAUUUUAUAACAUCAAGCAAUUUAAAGUAAAGUAAAAAGUUACCACCAAGGAUUGUCUGGAGUGAGGAGACAUGUGGGUGACAACUCCUGUUGGAGUCUAAAUAGGAAUCAUUCGCCAUUUGGGAGAAACCCUACCAUGAAGUCAUAGACCUUAUUUGACCACCUAGAGAAACCACUACAGCCACAGUCAAGUCACCAUUGGGAAUAUGUCUAAUUGGGAGCAAGCUAUGGGAGCGUUCCAGCUCAAUUUUCGUCUUGACACCUGGGCCUAUAGGAGUCAUGGGGUCGCACCAUCCUGGUGCAUCAUUUUCUAGGAUGCAACCGCAACCUCGUUUGGGAACAUUUAGUGAGGUGUUUUAGUAACUAUUGGUUUUUUUUUAUAUUUCAGACUAUCUGUUAAAUACACUAUGUUUUUUUUUCAGAUUUAGGUUACCUCUGGUUUUUUUUUGACAUAUUUGUAUAUUAGAUUAUUUGGUUCCCAAACUUUGUAUCUACGGUAACUUCUUGUGCACAGGAAUAAGCCUAGAGAAAAUUAGGUUUUUAGUACUUUAUUAUUGCUUUGAUAUUGGUUUAUGUAAUUCGGUUAAAUUUAUUUUGUAAUAUUACUUGCUUGUUUCCCAAAUAUUUUACUGUUAUUCGCUUUAUUCCAUUUGUUCGGUUAAUUUAGGUCAUCGUCGGUAUUUAUCUCAACUUCAUUUCUACUUUAGUCAAUUGUAUAUUUAACUUUAUUUAUUCAUUAUUGUAUUUUCCCUUAGUGAGGCUUGGGCCUAUUUAUUUGUAUUAUUUUCAUCUUUGUCGGUUUCAAUUCAGUUGUACGUAGCAGGCGUACUAUAACCAUUUGGUAGAAGACUUAUGUAAUUUUGUACCCUAUAUGUAAGUAAGAGGUACUAAUACCUGUAAUUUUGUAACAGAUAACAUUAUUGUUGUUAUCUUAGAGAUGACUUUUUGUAUAACUUAUGUCAUUUUAGAGUCACAUGAUAUACACUUUGUGUAACUCAGAGAUUGUCAAAAAUCUAGUAGUUAUUUUUAAUAAAUAUGUAUUUAUUUUGUA